AUGUUUUCGUUUUUCUGUGUAGUCAGGGCAGAAAAAGAAGAUUUCCAGGGUUUCUACGAAGAACAAACAAGAAGCACAACUGUCACAAAAGAUCUGCUUUUGAAAAAGGAAAACACAACUGGUCAUGGCACAGAAGCAUUAUCUACAGAGAAUACACUUAAACACACUACAGCGGCAGUGGCUGCAAGGGUGGUGUUUUUUGACACCAGACCAACGGCACCUUAUGAGACAACACCAAUCACAAAAGCAUUGGCUAUAAUUGCCUCACAGAGCAGAAAGCAUUUUGUUUCCAAAAAUGGGCAAAGCUCUCUCACAUCAACGAGUGACAAUCCAUCUGCUUUGAGGAUUCACACUGAAACAGAAAUCCCGGUGAUCUCCAAUUAUGAGAAGAUGGUUUUCUCUUCCACGCAAGCUGCAUUUGAAUCAGUGAUGAAUGGCACCUCUGAGCCAGAGGUCCAUUCGUCCACAGAUGCAGUAAAAGCCUCUCUUUGGCUUCACACUCAGCUGGAUAACAGGAAUCAGAGAAACACUGACUCUAUUACUCUCACAUCUGCUGACGGAGGGCCGGGAGUUCCAAUCCUAUCUGCAUCUCAUCCUCGUGUAAUUGAUAACCUGGCUGCACCGCCUAAUGACAAUGAUGACAAACGAUCUCAAGGCAAGGAUGAAAAGGGGAUUUCAAACUUGGGAAGAAAUGAGUAUCUGUUCAGUGCGACGCAAUCCAUCUUCCAAAGGGAUAGAGCAGGAGAUUCAGUGAGAGGAAACACUGUGACAAACUUGUGUUUGACAUGCCUGAAAGAUCGAAGACCGGUGUCCACUGAGAAAUCUGUGGCUCUGCCUGUACUGUCACCUGAUGGCUCUUCAGACUCUCUUAGUACAGAGGAGAUCGCUAUAGAUUUCAGUCAAUUUGCUACUUCCUUACCCAGUUUAUAUGAACAGUCAAUAGGAGAACAAGAAGAAAUACUGAACCAAGAGAUCAGUCACCAAAACAUUAGCGAGCAUUCUGGUUUCGGCAUGAGGGAACAACAAGUUUACAAUCUGACAUUUUCUCCUUCAUUCUUCAAUAAAUCUGUGAAUCAUAGUCAAAGCAUUUUGAAUAAUUCCCAAAUCAAAUCUUUUCUGUUGCAUACAGGAACAGUUGCAUUUGACACAUGGCCUCUUGCUGAGAUGUCAUCAGCAACACAAAAAGAUGCCAAGAAACAAGCGAGGCACACCUCUCCUAGUGAAACUUUAGUCACAGAGAGACUGAUUUCAAACACCACGGCACUUUAUCACUCUUUAAAGUCACUUCGCACUGUAAGGAAACCAGUAAAAAAUGGAGAACAAGAGAUCUUUGAGAAAAGGGUGAACAUCGGGGACCCCCAGUCAAAACUAAUAUAUCUCAGUAAGAAUACCAAAAAUGCUUCCCACAGUCUCUCAACAAACUUCAAGAAUGUAUUUAUCCAUACCCAACCCUCGGACGUCAGCAGUGGGUCAGUAAGCAGUACAUCUGUCAUCGCUGAAGCUCCCAACAGCAGUCAGAAAAGUGUUCUUCCAGAAGGUAGUGAUCACAGUAAUGCAUCACAUCCAACUGUUAGAACAAGGUUGAUUGAAGCUCAUAGCGCAAUAACAUCCUUCAACCUUAGUAGGCCAACAGUCAAACAUCCUGACUCUCACUCUCUGACAGAGAAAGCUCAUUCUUUGAUCUCUGUAUUGAGGAUCCAAACGCCAGCUAAACCAAGCUCUCAGACCAAAGAACCCAUAUUGACUUUGUUACUAACGGAUUCUGCCAUCAAGUUUGCAUCUGUAACCACAAAGAGACACCUGACAGAUACGCAGGAUUCUCACAUAUUUAACACUGUAAACAGCAUUGUUAAACAGACUUUUGUUGAUCCUUCAGGGCCAGAGAAUAAAAAACCAAAAACUCCAACCUCUACAACAGAAGAAGUUGUUGUGCCUCUGAAGUUGUUUCUUUCAGAAUCAAGACAGGACUUUGAUGAUGAUGCGUCCAAGUUUACUCUAACAACACCAUCAAGCCAGUCAUUCUCCAAGAGACUGACAAUAGGCAGACUUUUUGGAGGUCAAUCUAAAAUCACUCAGGAGAGGGGUUUUGAUGUUAGCAAUCAGUCUGUGGAAUCGACACACCAAUCUUUUGUAAAAUAUAACAGGGAUUUAAUCAGAGAGUCACUAAUAGUACACAAUCUGAAGCCAGGAGAUAAAAAUGAGCAGGUGUUGACUGUAGUUGCAGAAGAUGAGGACAAAGAGAUUAUGAAGAUAGAGGGCAAGCAGGGUGAAGAAAUUAAAGAGUCAAAAGAGAUACUAAAGUUGCAGGAAGAAGAGGAUGACAGGGAAGAUGAAAAGUUUGGGAACAAAAAAGAAGAAUUAUUUAGAUCAGAUAAAAUCGAAAGCAGGAAACAAGAAAAUAUAAUUCAUUGUGGAGAAAAGAUAAAUCAAAAUAAGGAAGAGGAUAAAAUGGAAGAGCAUGAGGCCAAGACAAGUAGAAGGGAAGGUGGAGGGCUAACUGGUGAGGAGGAUGUAACUUUGAGACAAAACAAAGAUCUGAGGGAAGGGGAAGGAUGGGACGAAGAAGGUGUAGGUGAAAAGCAGAGAAUGUCUUUGACAAAAGAAGGAGCAGAGGCUAGAAGAGAGCAAACAGCAAGCAGAGAAGACCUUAAACAUAACAGGGAAAUUGGGACAGAGGACAUGACAAAUGUUCCCCUUGGGCCAACUACUAAUUCUAAAGAACUUAACAGAGACAAAGGGCAUACUGUUACAAACCUGUCUUCCUGCCACAGUUUGAUUAAACAGUUGGGAGCCACUGAGCGCAAGGGCGUUUACCUGGGUGAAAAUAUAGCACAAAUUGCGGAAAUGAAAAAUAAGCCAUUUUCCUACAAAGUGACAACCAAUCACAGACCGCUACACUCAACUCUGAUAUCUCAGAACCCGAAACUACCAAGAAUGACAUAUUUUCCCAAAGAGACACACACACAGAUUCAACCUCAUCAGUCAACCCAUGGGGCUAUGCGUACAAAGCAUGGAGGUACGUCUUCACUUACUAAAGAAAGUACCCAGAACAAAGUUGUUGAGACUACAUUUUCUGUGACUGCCACACAAAAAAUUGACCCAAAACUCUAUCAAACAUUCGGAGUUAGCACUUCAAAAUUUAGUGAUGCAUUCAAGCCGACAAUAUCCCCGCGCAGCACUGCGACUAAAUCAGCACACCCUGUACUAAACAGUAUCAGUAACAUGUUGUCACUUACCACCCCACAAUUGGCAAUCACAGCUGGGUUCCUGCGAGCUCAGUCCCACUUUACAGUAAACAGUUCUACUCUCAGUGCAUCAAUUAUUUACAGCACCUCAGAUCAUAGGCAUAAAUUCAGUACUUCAGUUUUGAAGGCAAAUUCAUUUUCACUCACUACGAAUGAGAGAGAGAAAGCAGAACACAUUAUACCAGCACAUAUAUUUGAAUACAAUGUCAAGGACCCUUUAACCUCUAACAAGAUUGAAGAGGUGAAUAUAUCUACUUCAGUGAAUCCUGCUCUGCCACUGCAGAUGUAUAAUGACUCAUCUACCAGGCCACCCACAACAGCAGCCUUGUCAUUUGAGGCCAACAUCUCAAUUGGCCAGUUGCAGCCUCACCAAGGGAAAUCUGCCCCUCAGAUAAGCCAGUCCUCCUCCUCAUCCUUUGACAUGACUUCAGGCCAGCCAUGCUCAUUUAAACUGUCAGAGCAGACAGCCCAUUCAGAUGCUUUGCAUGUUCCUGUUGACGAUAACGAGCAGAGAUCUGUACAGACCCUAAUGGCAUCAAUGAGCCCUAAAGCAAAAAGCGAUCAAUUUCCUCUCAGCAGCAUGUCACCACAGCUAAAUCUCGUGCCGUUUGGAGGUGACAGUUUACCUGGCAUCUACAGCCUGACAGGGCUAACAAGAUCAGCCUCAGAAAAAGAAAUACUGGGGGCCAACUCUGGCACUGAAUAUGCAAAUAGUGGAAGAGGCCAUGCUGAGUCCUCGUUAGGGACUGCUGAUGAGACAAAUCAAACUGAGGAGAAUGACAGUCUGCAAAAUAUAGUGACCUUGGCAGUAAAAGAUUCAGAUGCAGUGACAAAGCAAAUGGCAGAGAACAGAGAUGAAGAGAGCAGUUCUUCUCCCAUAGCACAAGCAACUGGCAAGAGUAAACACCAUGGCAGUAACACUGAUGAAUUUAACUCUUUGUCUAUAAUACAGACUGAGAAUCAAGCUGUAAAAAACACAAAUGAGAACAACCACAAUGAUCUGUUCAAUGUAGAUGGCAGUGAUGAAGCAAACAACACAGUAAAAACUACCCUUGAGAAUAAUCUCUCCCAGGUAGAAGGUUAUAAUGAAACAGGUGCUAAACCUGUGAUGUUUGCAAUUCAGGCCACCCACAAGAUUGAGCAGGCAAUAAAUAAGGAUUUUGUGCCUGUUACAAAUGACUUUGCUAUACCUGCGCUUGACACAAAUGAUCGAACUGGCACCACUGUAUUUGUUGAGUCAGAUCGUCUGCCCGAAAUACCCCAAUUGCAGGCUAAUGAUGUGACUAAGAAUGCUAUUUCUGAUAUGGAGCACCAUACAGCAAAAACAACCAAAAAGCAACAUGAUCUCUCUGCACCACAAGGCACUGUGGGUGACAACACUCUCCCUGAGCAACACAUUAAUUUCAGAAGUGACCUUAAGGCCCCCAAUAUAUCCACACCACAGAUUGCUGACCGGAUAAUGAAUGUUACCUCUGAUUUUCAGAUAACCACUACAACUGCUAGUACAGGCAGUUUUAUUGUGUCCACAAAAGCUCAUGAAUCAGCACUGACCACUAGUGAGAAUGUGCAAGUUGUUAUUGAAAAGUCAUCUCAGGCUGCAUAUGCUGAGCAUAUGGUACAGUCCAAUAGUCAUAUUGAGCCUUUGUCACUGAGAGAGCCUCCCACAACUCCCACUACUGGCAAACUCCCCCCUGCUGUGAAAAGAAAGAAUGCAACAGAAACAAGUGUAGAGGAGCCCAAGCAUGAAAUUUCUGUACAGCCUAUUGAACAAAGCCAGCACACCCCACCUGGUAUGAUCGCAAUAACAAGUCCUAUCAAUGACCCUGAGCAGGGUGUUCAGACAGGUUUGUUAAAUACUGCCAACCUGGCUGGAGGGUCACGUGACACUACACCUACCAUUAUAGUGGAAUAUUCAUCAUUUAAAGACAUCAAAACAACUCCGACAACAAUUGCUUUUGAAGCCAAAAAUCCUCUACAGGAGAGGACUCCAACAGUGCAUACACUAGACAGAGCAGACAAACAUAAGAAUCAUGCAUUAUCUGAAAAGACCUCAGGUCAGGAGAUACUUGGAGCUGUGACUGAUUCUGUACCGCCUACAGGGAUCUCGCCUCCAGAGAUUAUUAAUAAAACCAGCUGUAGGACAAUUGGCUGUGCUAAGUCAGGCGAGACUACUGAAACAACAAUUGAAGCAGGUGAGAUUGAUCAUACCGCUUCAGAGAAAAUGUAUAAAACACAGGCUGGAAACAUGGGAAAAGAGCUUUUUAAUACAGCACUCACUGCUGGCACAAAACCAGAAAAUGGCAACUGUAGCACUGACUGUCCUCUACCUGGAAAAGCAACACCACAGGCCACAAACCUCGACUAUGCAGUGCUUUCAUUACCCAUAAGUAAAUCUUAUCAUGACUAUGCCACUGUUGAUGAGACUCCAACAACAAAUGCCAAGAGUAUGACCUAUGAAACUUCAACAAAAACAUGGAGAGUACUUGUUGAAACUGAUCAUUUGGAGAGACGUGGGACACUUGAGCAGGAUCAGUUUGUAGAGAAAACAACACAUUCUCUCAGAGAGACCUAUGAAGCUCAGGAGGCUAUUGCAGCAGAGGUCACUUUUUCUGAACCUGAAGCAACUACUGCGCAGACCCCUGAGCGGACACUGCUCACUGAAAAAAACAAAAAAACACAAUUAAAUAGAGAGGCAGCCAAAGCUGAGAUAUUUGAGGUGCAAAAUGCCACCAGGUCAACGCAUGCUAUGUCUAAAGGAGAGACAGCAGUACAAGAGUCUGGGCGCAGGCUGUUACUGCCAGAGCCAGAGUCUGAAUCAGAGCUGCCAACACUGAAACACAGAAGAAGGACCUCACCUCAUCUGUAUCUCUCUGGUGUAACAGAAGUUUCAGAUGACCUGUGUGGCAGUGGGAACUACACUGCAGAGAUGAGUCUGAACCUGGGGAGAGGCAUAGAGCCUGGUGAUGCUGUGCCUGCCAUGGGGAACCUCAGAGUGGUUAUCAACCUGAAGACAAACAACAGUCAGAUAAACCUGGAGGUCACCUCCUGUUGCCUGUCCCCUACCAUCCAGCCUGACCUCACCAACUCCACCUGCUGCCUUUUCUCCAGGUUAGCAGCAGAGCCAGCAGGGAUCACACUGCUGCCCAGUGCCCUGUCAACCAGUGCCAGCUUCACCAUCAGUCUCUUCCAAAUGAUUAAUUACUCAGUAGUGUACCUACACUGUGAUCUCAGUGUCUGCCUGAGGAACCGCUCUGACUGUGAAAGGCAGUGCCUUCAGCAGAGGAGUGCGUUUCCUUUAGAGGGUCCAGAGGCCAUUGUCACCAAUCUCAGAAAUCGCAUAUCCUUUGGUCCCAUGUUGAAAGAAGUGAAGAAUUCUACCUUCCCAGAGGAGAUAGACCCAUCAGAACUGGAUCUGGUUUUGGUUAUGGUGAGCCUGGUGGUUGGCUCCUCUCUUGUCACAGUGACGCUGCUGCUGGUGUGGCUGGCCUACCGUCGCCGGGCAAUCUGGCUGCUCCACUCAGCAGCUCCACCACGAGCCUGCUGUGGCUGUCUGCGCCCAGGAGGUGACUUGAUCCUACCGUGAUCAAGGAGGACCCACUGCCAAUUACACUGAUCACGUCCUCACCAAAAUAGCUGCCGACAAUUACAUUAGUCAACAGACAGUGGAGCAGUCAAUCAUAUUAACCAUAGCGCAGAGACGGCCAGUCGUAUCAGCCGGUAUAGGCCAGACUAGACAAUGAGGAGCAAUCCAAUUCACACCUCCUCUCAUAGGUGACACAGCUGUUGCAGUCGAAUUUCACACUUAAACCAUGAGCAGUCUAUUAUCAUUCACUGAAAAUAAACACCAUCCCCAAAUACAAAAGCUCAGCUGAUCCCUUUAUUUUCCUUUAGUGGCAACAAAUCAAUUCUCUUUGUACCCCACUUUAAGAUUGAUAGCUCAUUAAUAUACUGGUUUAAUAUAAUGUAUGCAUUCAUGGCUUGACUUGUUAUAUUGAGCCCCUGUGAUAGACUGUUUAGGGAAAAUGUGUCUCUUUGGGUAAGAAUGAUUCAAGCAAAUGUAUUGCUGCAAGAAAACAUGAAGAACCCUUUGCAAUGUUGGUUUUUCUUUUUAAAUGUACAAUCAAAAUGACUCAUUAUAUUCUAUCAAUAUUUUGUAAUAUUUUAAAGCCAAGUGGUUUAAAAUGCAUGAAUGAAUCAUUAUCUACCAUUUUAUAACUAAUUAAAUGUGUGUAUAUGGCAAUUCUCUACAAAGUUUUUUUCAUUUUCAGUUUUCUUGCAUUGUUUCUCACAUCAUAAACCUUCA
ensembl:lncRNA